CACGAGCUGGACGAGGUCGACAGCGAGGUCAUCUGCCCUGCCCACCAUGAUUUCCCAUAGAACAAGAAGGUGCCUCAUGUGGAUUUUAUGGCUUAAGCCAAGAGGAGAAAGAAAGGGCUCUGCAUAUGAAAAGAUACCAACAUUAUUGUUUCCAUGAAAUUGGUUGGAAGAAAAGAAGAAGAUCCAGAGAAGAUCUUAGUAAUAAGAUAGUUUUUAGGAAAAU